CAGCAAUGAACAUUUUCUGGCGAAAGUCGGAAAGAUCUCAUCAAAGUUUUACAGUCUGGAAGAAGAAAAGAAGGCUAGACAUCUUAAACAAUGAAGACAGAAGGAUUUGCCAUAUAAGAUGAAUAAAGAAAAAGUAAGACCAGUAAACCAAAACAGGACAAAAUAGGCCAUGACUGAAGUUCAAGUGCAUUCUGCAAGAAAGUGGACAACCUAGAUUUUGUUCUUUUCAAGGUUGAGAAGGGAUGCCAUAUUUUAGGUUUGAAACCAGGCAAGUGAAAGCUGAAUUCCAACCUACUUCAACAUACUUGUACCCACUGUCUUCAAGAUAUCAGUGUUUGAGUUGUCAAAGUUCAAAUAUAAUAGGAACAUGUUUAUCAUAUUAUUUGAUGGCAUCCUCAAAUCUUAAGCUGUAUAACAAUAUGUUUUAGAACUUAUCAAGCUUUAUCCUGUACCUUGCCAAAAAAACUCAACU